AAGUCGUAACAAGGUUUCCGUAGGUGAACCUGCGGAAGGAUCAUUAACACCCCCUGUGAACCUUCACCUGUACUCGUACGUCCGUUAGAAAAAGCAGCAAUCUCUGGUAAAUCAUCGCCGAACAGUUUUCGAUUCAGGGACGUCUGCAAGGAGCGUGCAUGUUGUGCGAAGCAAGUGGCCUGGCAUCCCCAAGCAGUUAGUGUCUGAAAGUGUCAUUACCUGUGUAAGGAUGACGCAGUCACGAUCGUUGGAGGCCCACACGGCCGACGACCGGGUCGCUGGGCGCAAGCCCCCCUAUAACAAACCCCCUGCCAAUCGCGGCCGCGAUAAUACGCAGUCGACCAAAAACCGAACAACUGUUAACAAUGGAUAUCUUGGUUCUC
rnacentral:misc_RNA from 1 species